rnacentral:rRNA from 1 species
AGUAUGUGGUUUAAUUCGAUGCAACGCGAAGAACCUUACUGGUCUUGACAUCCCGGAGAACCCUUAGGAAACUAGGGGGUGCUUCCAUCUGGAAGAAUCUGGAGACAGGUGCUGCAUGGCUGUCGUCAGCUCGUGUCGUGAGAUGUUGGGUUAAGUCCCGCAACGAGCGCAACCCUUGCCUUUAGUUGCCAGCAGUUCGGCUGGGCACUCUAAAGGGACUGCCGGUGUUAAACCGGAGGAAGGUGGGAUGACGUCAAGUCCUCAUGGCCUUUAUGACCAGGGCUACACACGUACUACAAUGGCCGAUACAAAGGGCAGCGACACUGCGAGGUGAAGCCAAUCCCGUAAAAUCGGUCUCAGUCCGGAUUGGAGUCUGCAACUCGACUCCAUGAAGUUGGAAUCGCUAGUAAUCGCGCAUCAGCCAUGGCGCGGUGAAUACGUUCCCGGGCCUU